AAUGAACGCUGGCGGCGUGCUUAACACAUGCAAGUCGAACGAGAAAGUGGGCUUCGGUCCAUGAGUAGAGUGGCGCACGGGUGAGUAACACGUGGGUAAUCUACCCCUCAAUUUGGGAUAACAUUGCGAAAGUGAUGCUAAUACCGAAUAACAUCCAUAAAGCUUUGGUUUAAUGGAUCAAAGGUGGCCAAUCCUUGGAAGCUACUGUUGGGGGAUGAGCCCGCGUACCAUUAGCUAGUUGGUAGGGUAAUGGCCUACCAAGGCGACGAUGGUUAGCUGGUCUGAGAGGAUGAUCAGCCACACUGGAACUGACACACGGUCCAGACUCCUACGGGAGGCAG
rnacentral:rRNA from 1 species